GACGAGCGCUGGCGGCGUGCUUAACACAUGCAAGUCGAACGGAAAGGCCCUGCUUUUGUGGGGUGCUCGAGUGGCGAACGGGUGAGUAACACGUGAGUAACCUGCCCUUGACUUUGGGAUAACUUCAGGAAACUGGGGCUAAUACCGGAUAGGAGCUCCUGCUGCAUGGUGGGGGUUGGAAAGUGUCGGCGGUUGGGGAUGGACUCGCGGCUUAUCAGCUUGUUGGUGGGGUAGUUGCUUACCAAGGCUUUGACGGGUAGCCGGCCUGAGAGGGUGACCGGCCACAUUGGGACUGAGAUACAGCAGAGACUACUACGGGAGGAAGCAGGGGGGAAUAUUGCAGCAUGGGCGGAAGACUGAUGCAGCAACGCCGAGUGCGGGAUGACGGUAUUCGGGUUGUAAACAGCUUUCGCCUGUGACGAAGCGUGAGUGACGGUAAUGGGUAAAGAAGCACCGGCUAACUACG
rnacentral:rRNA from 1 species